UACGAAGGGGGGCUAGCGUUGCUCGGAAUUACUGGGCGUAAAGCGCACGUAGGCGGCUUUCUAAGUCGGGGGGUGAAAUCCUGGAGCUCAACUCCAGAACUGCCUUUGAUACUGGGAAGCUCGAGUCCGGAAGAGGUGAGUGGAACUCCGAGUGUAGAGGUGAAAUUCGUUAGAUAUUGGGAAGAACACCAGUGGCGAAGGCGGCUAACUGGUCCAGAUCUGACGCUGAGGUGCGAAAGCGUGGGGAGCAACAGG
rnacentral:rRNA from 1 species